AUUUCUUAUCAUGUUUGCUGUUGGGAUACUUUAGCCUGAUUUUUGAGGUUAAUAAAGUUUCUUCCUAUAUCUAGUUGCUCAGUGUUUAUAUUGUGAAUAUAUGGUGAAUUUUAGCAAUACAUUUUUCCAUUACUACUGAGAUGACUUUGUAUUAAUUUUUGUAUAAGGUGUAAGGAAGGAGUCCAGUUCCAGUUUCAGUUUUCUGCAUAUGGCUAGC
rnacentral:lncRNA from 10 species